rnacentral:ncRNA from 1 species
AAAGACUUAGUCCUAACCUUACCGUUAAUUCUUGCUAGACAUAUACAUGCAAGUAUCUGCACUCCAGUGUGAAUGCCCUCCACGCCCUACUAGGGUAUGAGGAGCGGGUAUCAGGCACACCCAUUAGACUGUAGCCCAAGACGCCUUGCUUAGCCACACCCCCACGGGUACUCAGCAGUAAUUAACAUUAAGCAAUAAGUGUAAACUUGACUUAGUUAUAGCAACACUAAGGGUCGGUAAAUCUUGUGCCAGCCACCGCGGUCACACAAGAGACCCAAAUUAACAGUAACGCGGCGUAAAGAGUGGCACCACGUUAUCCUAGCAACUAAGAUCGAAAUGCAGCUGAGCUGUCAUAAGCCUAGGAUGCACUUAAGACCGCCCUUAAGACGAUCUUAGCCCUCAGGACCAAUUGAACUCCACGAAAGCUAGGGUACAAACUGGGAUUAGAUACCCCACUAUGCCUAGCCCUAAAUCUUGAUACUUUUUCACUAAAGUAUCCGCCUGAGAACUACGAGCACAAACGCUUAAAACUCUAAGGACUUGGCGGUGCCUUAAACCCACCUAGAGGAGCCUGUUCUAUAACCGAUAACCCACGAUACACCCAACCACCUCUUGCCAAAGCAGCCUACAUACCGCCGUCGCCAGUCCACCUUCCUUGAGAGUGUAACAGUGGACAUAAUAGCCUCAACCUCGCUAACAAGACAGGUCAAGGUAUAGCUUAUGGGGUGGAAGAAAUGGGCUACAUUUUCUAGCAUAGAAAACUUUCACGGAAGUGGGUGUGAAAUCGCCUACAAGAGGCGGAUUUAGCAGUAAAGAGAGAUAAUAGAGCUCUCUUUAAGUCGGCUCUGGGGCACGUACAUACCGCCCGUCACCCUCCUCACAAGCUACAAACCUUUAUAACUAAUACCCAAAUUAGCUGAAGAUGAGGUAAGUGGUAACAAGGUAAGUGUACCGGAAGGUGCACUUAGCAUAC